GUGGACGUAUCCUAGUCAGGAUAAGGAGUUAGCACGCCAAGCUUUCAACCCAAUCUCCGGGCGCGGGUUCAAAUCCCGCCGUCCACU
rnacentral:tRNA from 1 species